ACAGGUUUGAACCUCAUGUGCUUACAUUCUUGGAAUGUUUUAUGGCGGAGAGGACAGAACCAGAAAAGAUACGAUAUAUCGAAGGCAGAAAUUUUAUACGUGAAAUCCCAAGGAAUAAUCAAGACUAUAAAGAUAUUUGUUGGACAUAGUAAAAUUUUAUAUGUACGUUCUAAUUGGAACAUGCUUCAAGUCACAAGAAACCCGCAGCCGCUAUCUUUCGGGUGAGCACUGGGUAACUUGCUCACUGUGCAAUAGCUCGCAAACCGCACUAGGCAAGCUCAGUGCUACGAGCUUUGACUGAGAAGGCUGUUGGUGAGGGGAAUCGAUCCCAGGUCUUCCAUGUGAAAAAUUAAUCACCCAACCCUUGUGGGUCUCUCACAUGUUAAAUGAUACUAAAAUAUUUUACUGCCAGUGUACAUAAUUUAAAUUCGUUAACAACGCAAAAAAGGAGAUAAUAACC